rnacentral:rRNA from 1 species
UAGAGUUUGAUCCUGGCUCAGAUUGAACGCUGGCGGAAUGCUUUACACAUGCAAGUCGAACGGCAGCACGGACUUCGGUCUGGUGGCGAGUGGCGAACGGGUGAGUAACAUAUCGGAACGUAUCCAAUAAUGGGGGAUAACUAAUCGAAAGGUUGGCUAAUACCGCAUACGCCCUACGGGGGAAAGCUAGGGACCUUCGGGCCUGGCGUUAAUGGAGCGGCCGAUAUCUGAUUAGCUAGUUGGUGGGGUAAAGGCCCACCAAGGCGACGAUCAGUAGCUGGUCUGAGAGGACGACCAGCCACACUGGAACUGAGACACGGUCCAGACUCCUACGGGAGGCAGCAGUGGGGAAUUUUGGACAAUGGGCGCAAGCCUGAUCCAGCCAUUCCGCGUGAGUGAAGAAGGCCUUCGGGUUGUAAAGCUCUUUCGCAAGGGAAGAAAACUUAUCCUCUAACAUAGGAUGAGGUUGACGGUACCUUGAUAAGAAGCACCGGCUAACUACGUGCCAGCAGCCGCGGUAAUACGUAGGGUGCGAGCGUUAAUCGGAAUUACUGGGCGUAAAGCGUGCGCAGGCGGUUCGACAAGUCAGAUGUGAAAUCCCCGAGCUCAACCUGGGAACUGCGUUUGAAACUAUCGAGCUAGAAUAGGUCGGAGGGGGGUAGAAUUCCACGUGUAGCAGUGAAAUGCGUAGAGAUGUGGAGGAAUAUCAAUGGCGAAGGCAGCCCCCUGGGAUCAUAUUGACGCUCAUGCACGAAAGCGUGGGGAGCAAACAGGAUUAGAUACCCUGGUAGUCCACGCCCUAAACGAUGUCAACUAGUUGUUGGUAGAGUAAAAUCUAUGAGUAACGCAGCUAACGCGUGAAGUUGACCGCCUGGGGAGUACGAUCGCAAGAUUAAAACUCAAAGGAAUUGACGGA